UCCAAGAAUAUUUAACCCUGAGGCCAGCUUACUUUUAGGAGGGGCUGUAGGCUGGAUCAUUCUGGGGGUGUACCAAAGUUGAGGGGCAUGGAGGGAGAAGAAGAGAAGCUUAAGCAGUCUGGCUGAUAAACAUUUUGUUCCAAUUUGCCAGUGGAAUGAGUAUUUCAAAAUAAUAAUUUAUGAGGCCAGGGAUGGGAAUUUAGAGGGUCUGUGCCUGGCCUUGUCAUAGGUAAACAAGAGGCUUUUGUGAGUCUAAUGUAAUCAUAUGGGGAAGGGUGGUUUUUCCAGUAUGCUGUUUUGUUUCCUGAAACACAAAAGGGUCAAGUUUCUUUUAUAUUCCCUCUUUCCAGGAGCACAGGGUGCAGGUACAAUUCAGCAUUGGCAAAUAUCUAUUACCUAAUGUUGAUAUUAUUUGUUAUUAUAAUAGUAAAAUAAUGAUUGUUAUUGUAAAACUUGUUUGAAACCAGAAGAAGGAAUUAGAGACUAAAGACUCACAUAUAUGCAUUUAUUCAUCAACCUUUUGUUGUAAGGCCAAAGGCUUUCUUUUGAAUCUGAUGAUUAAAAUUUCUUCCUGGUAGAAACCACACAGGAAGUGUGUUGUCUAGGCUGUUCGUCUUCAGGUUCCUGAAGUAACACAAAGAAACUUGACAACAAGCACUCAGUAUGAAAUCUAGAAGAUUUUUGCAUUUACUUCGCAGUCUUCCUUGUUUUAUAACCUAAUGCAAAGCAACUAGCUUAUUAUUAGUUAUUCAUUUUAUUGUUCUUGUUAUUUUAGUAAUUUGUCUUAAUAGUCUUCCUAAUAUAUUGAACAGGGAAAUGACCGCUUUCAUUAACUGCACUUAUAAAAUAUAAGUGAACAUGUACCGAAUCUUUUAGAAAGGCUCCAUCAGGCAAGUUACUAAAAUUGCAUUCAAGCAAGUGUUAAGUAAACUGAUAACGUGUAAUUGCUUGAGGUCUGCCCUUUGCUUUGAGCUUCUGGGAGGUAACUCCUAAGCUCUUGGAAUGUGCUGCCUGAUAAGAGUGUAUUUGUUUACCUGGGGACCUUGGGCCCACCUGGACAGUUUAUCUAACAAUGUGAAUUAAGGUGUGGUCUUGGGUGAUGAAACAGAUCAAUCUUUGUAGGAGUAGAGACAAAGUUCAGCUGUGGAGGUGGUCAGCCAUGGAUGUGUGACUACAUCCUAAUAAAAGCUCUGGAAACCAAGGCUUGGUGAUUUUCCAGGUUGGCAGGGCUUCAUGUGCAUUGCCAUACAUCAUUGUUAGUAAGCCCUGUUCGCUGCAAGAGGACAACUGGAAGAUUGUCUCUGGAACUUUUCUGGAACCUGGCCUAUGUGCUUCGUCUCUUGCCUGACUUUAGUCUGUAUCCUUUUGCUAUGAUAAGCCAUAAUCAAGCAUAAUGGUUUUUCUGAGUUGUGUGAAUCUAACAAAUUAUUAUUAUUUUUUAAAAAUUUUUUAUUAAGGUAUUAUUGAUAUACACUCUUAUGAAGGUUUCACAUGAGAAAACAUUGUGGUUACUACAUUUACCCAUAUUGUCAAGUCCUCACCCAUACCCCAAUGCAGUCACUGUCCAUCAGUGUAAUAAGAUGCCACAGAGUCACUGUUUGCCUUCUCUUUGCUACACUGUUUUCCCUGUGACCCCCCACACCAUGUGUACUAAACAUAAUACCCCUCAAUCCCCUUCUCCCUCCUUCCCCACCUCCCCUUGCACACCCCUCCCCUUUGGUAACCACUAGUCCCUUCUUGGAGUCUGUGAGUCUGCUGCUAUUUUUUCCUUCAGAUUUGCUUCCUUGUUAUACUCCACAAAUGAGGGAAAUCAUUUGGCACUUGUCUUUCUCCGCCUGGCUUAUUUCACUGAGCAUAAUGUCCUCCAGCUCCAUCCAUGUUGUUGCAAAUGGUAGGAUUUGUUUCUUUCUUAUGGCUGAGUAGUAUUACAUUGUGUAUAUGUACCACAUCUUCUUUUUCCAUUCAUCUACUGAUGGACACUUAGGUUGCUUCCAUAUCUUGGCUAUUGUAAAGUCUAACAAAUUAUUGAACCUGAAAGUAUUCUUGGAGACUCCCAAACUUUGCACUUUCUAAUAAAUUCAACAGAGAAAUACCACUCACAUUAAGUAAACAUAUAAAACAUAAGUAUAGAAUAGUAUGUUUUUAACAGGCUCCAUAUCAGCAAGUUGCUAAAAUGAAUUGUUCAAACAAUUACUAAAGAAACUGGUAACAUAUAAUUGUUUAACUAAUAUGAUUACAGUAGCAGAUAGACAGUUUGCUUAAUUCCAUGUGUUGAAUAUAAUGGAUGUCAGUAAAAAGAGCUUGUACUGUAUGUUGGUUAAAAGAUAAGAAAGCCACUGUACCUGAUAUUGCUCCCUUCAGACAUGAAUUUCUAGCUGAACUAUGUAUGACAGUGUGAUACCCAAAAGGGAUCUUUUACUCAGAACAUUUUAUAGAUAGUUCUAAACUCCUGGACAUGUAGAAAUGACUGAAUUUACAAACCCUAAUGUAAAAUAUUUACAAUUUGCCAGGCAUACUUCUGGCCAAUAAACUCAAGGAUGUAUUGUAGGAUCUGAUAUAAAUUCUCAUUUCUAGCACAAUACAAGACUGAUGAUUAUUAAAAAAGUACUUCUAAGAGAAUAGUUUUCAACUGAACUAGAUUCUUUUUCAGUCAGAUCCUACAGAUACUUCUGUGGCUCCUAAUUCUUUCAUCUUACACAUACUCAUAUUUUGUAUGGCACUUUGCCCUGAGGUUUUUAACUUUGCCCGUGCAUUUACUCAAAGAAAGUGGACAGGUUUUCAUCAAUUGGUUUAUAUGUGCUUUGUCUUUCUCCUUCAUAAACUAAGUGCUGGCUGGCUGUUUUGUUGGUGAAGACUGGAGAUGAUGGCAUCGUAAUGAAGCUCACUGCUUCUGCGGUAGGGUCCCCGUUCCUCACUCUCCCUCCUGGACAGCAUUUUCUUUCUUAAGAGGAGUGUGCUCCAUGUGUAUGUAUCAUCAUAGGCAUGUAAAAUUCAUUUAGGGCUAAAACAAAGUCAUUUUAUGUUUGACAUCAAGGCUAAAGUGGAAUCUCCUUAAUGAAGAGCAUACUAAACAUUGGAGCAGAAGCUUAUCCCGUGAUAUCUUUCAAUCACUUCAUGUUCCAUUUGGGUACAUUACACUAAAAACGUGGGAGAAGGAUGGCUGGUAAUUUAUCUUUGCUCAAUGUAGAUGUACUCCCCAGCCUUUUUUAUAAGAGUGAAAGGCUUUUCCAAAAUAGAAUAGAGCUAAUUCCAUAAUGUAAAUCCAGAAGAGAGAGAGCUAUCCCAAAGUGAUAAGUCACUACUUUUUGUUCCUGUAACAAAAAUGUCCACUCUUUUGCUUUCUCUUCCCCUUCCCAUUUCUUCUUUUAAUGAACAGUUCAGUUCUAUAGUCAAAAGGUGUGACAGAACAAGGUAGGCAUCCAUCCCUGGUGGUGAGGGUGACCCAGUGGCGCGGAUCAGCACAUGUUGGAGCCUGAACAGUAUUAGAAGGACACUGUUCCAUGUGAGAGGGCAGUUCACAGGGGACCAUAAGAGCCAGAAGGGUGAGAGGUGGGAGCUUGAAUGUGUCUCUCCUGGCUUCAUACCACAACUAUAAUCAAACUACAGGACUUAUCUUGAGCUGAGCAGCAACUGGGCCUGGAGGAUGUAACACCUUUGGAUUCUAGAGGGAGAAAAAAAGUUGAUGGAAAAUUUCCCUCCUCUGUAUUGGGGGAGAGUUUGGAGGCAGUUGACAGAGACCCAUUGGGACAACGUAUGCACUAGAUGGCUGAAGAAAAAGCUCUCUCAUCACUGGACGUCUCAAAGAGUGAGAAAAAAGUAUCACUGGAUCCUCAACAAUGGGAAAACCAUUCCUUCACUCACGUGCCAGAUGCUCCCAAGGCUAUGGCCACAAUGCUCGCGAGGCCUCCUAUCACACCAGUAUUUCUGCCUCCAGUUGGAAAAUAAAUCAGCUCCUGUCACUUUGUGGACAUUAUUUGUAUUGAUGACUGUUCUACCUACCACCUUUUAGAGCUUCCAUUAGUGUCUCCUUUUUCUUCAUAACCCAAGGUAAUGCCAUGGAAGCAGGCUGCUGGUCUCACUCAGUGAUUCAACUUAGAAUUUUUCCAGAGCAAA